UCCACUUUCUAAUCCCCCAACGCGAAGCAGCCAUCGAAGCAUCCAGAGGCCUCCAUCCUCACCCAUUUCCGCUGAUUCACUUUGGGAGGCGAGGCGAUGCCCUCGAGGAGCAAGCGCAACCGACUCGGCCUCGACGGCGAGGAGGAAGAGGAGGUCGCCGCCACCUCAUCUGACCCCGACGACUCGGAGUCGGAGGCGGAGCGCGGGGCCGAGGCGGAUGACGGCGACGACGAAUACGUGGGGGAAAGCAGUGACGCGGGCGGCGGCGACGGAGCGGAGGAACGAGGCAGCAGUGACAGCGGCGAUGGGGGCGGCCGCGGCGACGGCGGGAAGCCACUUCGUAGCGGGAGGCGCGGGGUGGCGGCUCCCGAUAGCGAGAGGAAAUCACAGAAUGUCGAUGCUUUGGUCAGGGGUAACCUGGUUGUAAGGAGGCAGCCACUCAUUCCACGUAUCCUUUCAGUUUCUGAUGCGGCGGCAAUAGCUCGAAAGCCAUUCAAACCUCCAUGUCAAAAUGGAUAUAGUGAGAACAAUGAGCAGCUUGCUCGGCGCCUUUCAGCUCGUAAAAGAUUUGUCCCUUGGGGUUCGACGCAGACAUUUGCAGUUACACGUGAUCUUCCACAAUCACCUGCUGUUACCAGUGUUAGUUCAUCAGAAAAGGAGGAACCUCUCCCACCUGGCAUAGAGCCUUUGGUUUUGUGGCAAUGUGAGGAAUGUGACAAGGAAAACUGCAAUUCUGCUGCAAUUGAAGUUGAUCACUUGCUUGUACGUUACCUCCGACCGCAUCAAAGGGAAGGAGUUCAGUUUAUGUUUGAUUGUGUCUCUGGGUCGUUGAGUGAUGAUGGUAUUUCUGGUUGCAUUUUAGCUGAUGAUAUGGGAUUGGGGAAGACUUUACAGUCAAUAACUUUACUAUAUACCCUUCUUUGUCAAGGCUUUGAUGAUAAGCCAAUGGUUAAAAGGGCUGUCAUUGUAACCCCCACAAGCUUAGUUAGCAAUUGGGAAUCUGAGAUAAUUAAGUGGUUAAAAGGCAGAGUGCAGCUGCUUGCCCUCUGUGAAAGUACACGUGCUGAUGUUCUUUCCGGGAUAGAAAGUUUUUUAAAACCCUUGAGCCGUCUUCAGGUACUUAUCAUAUCUUAUGAGACGUUCCGCACGCAUUCUUCAAAAUUCGAGAGACCAGGCAGCUGUGACCUUCUGAUAUGCGAUGAGGCCCACAGGCUGAAAAAUGAUCAGACACUGACAAAUAAGGCAUUGGCUUCCCUUCCUUGUACACGUCGAAUCCUCUUGUCCGGUACCCCAAUGCAGAAUGAUCUGGAAGAAUUCUUUUCAAUGGUGAAUUUCACAAAUCCUGGGAUUUUAGGGGAUGCUUCAUAUUUCCGCCGAUAUUAUGAAGCACCGAUCAUUUGUGGAAGAGAACCCAACGCAAGUGCAGAAGAAAAGAAGUUGGGAUCUGAUAGAUCUGCAGAGCUUAGUGCAAAAGUAAAUCAGUUUAUACUGAGACGAACAAAUGCCCUGUUAUCCAAUCACUUGCCUCCAAAGAUUGUUGAAGUUGUGUGCUGCAAGCUGACUCCUUUGCAGACAACACUCUACAACCACUUCAUCCAUUCCAAAAAUGUUAAAUGCCUGAUAUCCGAAGAAGCAAAGCAAUCCAAAAUUCUGGCAUAUAUUACUGCGCUUAAGAAAUUAUGCAACCAUCCGAAGCUGAUCUACGACACCAUAAAAAAUAACAAUUCAGGUGGCUCUGGUUUUGAUGAUUGUCUGCGCUUUUUUCCACCGGAACUGUUUUCAGGAAGAUCUGGAUCAUGGACUGGUGGAGGAGGAAUGUGGGUAGAACUAUCUGGAAAAAUGCAUGUAUUAGCAAGAUUACUGGGCCACCUGCGUCAUAAAACUGAUGAUCGUAUUGUCCUUGUAUCAAAUUAUACUCAGACAUUAGAUCUAUUUGUUCAAUUAUGUCGGGAAAGAAGAUACCCAUAUGUUAGACUUGAUGGAGCAACAUCCAUUAGCAAAAGGCAAAAGCUGGUGAACCAAUUCAAUGAUCUAUCUAGGGAUGAGUUCAUCUUUCUACUUAGUAGCAAGGCAGGUGGUUGUGGGCUUAAUUUGGUAGGAGGAAAUCGCUUGGUUCUCUUUGACCCUGAUUGGAACCCUGCCAACGAUAAGCAGGCUGCCGCUCGAGUAUGGAGAGAUGGACAAAAAAAGAGAGUCUACAUUUAUAGGUUCUUAAGCACAGGAACCAUUGAGGAGAAGGUAUAUCAACGUCAAAUGUCAAAAGAAGGCCUCCAAAAAGUUAUACAACAGGAGCAAACGGACAACAAGAUGCAGGGAAGUUCUCUUUCAACAGAAGACCUGCGUGAUCUUUUUACUUUUCAUGAACAAGUCAGGUCUGAAAUACAUGAAAAUUUGAAGUGUAGCCGCUGUAACAAGGAUGGAAAUUCGCUUUUGGGUGGUAAUGGUUUUGAUUUAGCAGCCACUGAGCAUAAGCCUUCAAUGCCAGCAGUGCAAGAUUAUAUUGAUAUUGGUGGGUUCGGAGAGAUAUCCGGAUGUUUGCAGAUAAUGGAUAGCUCACAUCAUCAGAUUGGAAGACCUUCUGAAGAGGAUUUAGGAAGUUGGGGACAUCAUUGUGAUCCAUCAACUGUACCUGAUACUAUACUGCAGUGUUCUGCUGGUGAUGAGGUUUCUUUCGUUUUCACCAAUCAGGUUGAUGGAAAACUUGUUCCGGUUGAACCUGUGGCACGAUCAGCACUUCAUCAACCAAAUGGAAUAGCAGCUCAUGGAGACAAGGAAGUGGGGAAAACCAAUUCUCCUAGAAAAACCGGGAAACAAUCCUUACUUGGCAAGAAUUUGAAGAUGAUGGGAUUUAAUUUGAAGAAUUCAUCUUUGAAAUGCCCAAAUAGGUCCAGAACCGCAUCACCAAAUUGCUUGCAAGGGUUGAAGAAAACCAGCCCCUCUUUAGAACAGCCUCAAACUAAAAAGCUUCAUGUUGCUUAUGAUAUAUCUGAUGAUGACUUUGUUUGAGUCGUCAUAUGUUAAUCUAAUGAUCUGCUGUCUGUUGUUUAAAAGCUCUCAUCUGCUUUGUAAAUCCCGCAUCCAAGUUGUUCAUUUCAAGCAGAAGGGCUCAAUCCUUGUAGCAUAUUACUAUAAAAGGAUUAAAGGUAGGAGUCAGGAUCACAAUGAGGCCGGUCUUCAUUCCCAUCCCUCACAUGUGCAGUCACAAUGGUUAAAUACAUAUUGGAAGAAAAGAAUUGGUGUUGUUCAUGUGCUCACAUGGGUUCUCUAGAUCUUAAGAGCUUUGCCUAAGCUCUGUCGGUUUGACUAUUAUGAGGUUCUCAGCAGUAGCAGCUGGUCCCUAAUCCGUGCCAAGAAAGCUACCACCGGCCUACACCCCUGCACCGUCGGCGGUUGGACCGUACGGGUUUCUUGUUCCUUGGUAUUCGGUUCAUGAACAAAGCCUCAAGUCCCAACGUCCUGCAUGCUUUCAAACAGUCCCCCGGUGUGAUUCUGUGUCGCAUGGUGGAUCACCAAGUCAUCAAUGAGGAAGGCGAUUGCUGUCCACGCCUCGGAACAUCGCUAAUCUCCCCGUUCCCCGCAAUUAUGGACUGAUGCUUGUACUCCACCUCUGGGAAUGCAGGAAAGGUUUGCUGCUCGGUUUAUAUAGACCACUAAAUUAUUAGGUGUUGCUCCACAAUUAUUACAUGCCCGAUCAAUAUUAAUAAUAGUAUAGUGCUGGUAGCAAACAAAAUCUAGACACGAUGAUAAUAUCGACUUCGACGUCGGCCCUCAACAUUAUGAACCGUACUGGAUACUGAUUAUUCGCGGUGAGCUGGGCCCUGUAGACAGUGGUGUAUACUGUAUACAAGAGACGAGGGGCGUUUUUCUGUACGAUUGGCAGGUCAGACCUUAUAUAAUCCGGCAUUUGAUUUUCA